rnacentral:rRNA from 1 species
AUACGUAGGGGGCGAGCGUUGUCCGGAAUGAUUGGGCGUAAAGGGCGCGUAGGCGGCGCGGUAAGUCUGGAGUGAAAGUCCUGCUUUCAAGGUGGGAAUUGCUUUGGAUACUGCCGCGCUUGAGUGCAGGAGAGGUUAUCGGAAUUCCCGGUGUAGCGGUGAAAUGCGUAGAGAUCGGGAGGAACACCAGUGGCGAAGGCGGGUAACUGGACUGCAACUGACGCUGAGGCGCGAAAGUGUGGGGAGCAAACAGGAUUAGAUACCCUGGUAGUCCACACUGUAAACGAUGAAUACUAGGUAUAGGGGGUAUAAAAUCCUUCUGUGCCGCAGCAAACGCAAUAAGUAUCCCACCUGGGGAGUACGACCGCAAGGUUGAAACUCAAAUGAAUUGACGGGG